ACACAUAUAUGCGUAUAUGUGUAUAUAUAAUGCAUAUGUGUAUAUAUAUACACAUAUAUGCAUAUAUGUGUG
rnacentral:pre_miRNA from 13 species